ACAACUGCAGUGGGAGAAGAGCCUCACAGCAUGGAUGGCAGGAGGCUUCGCAGCCUCACAGGAUGUCUGCAAAUACCUUUCACUUAUGCAGUUUGACAGUGCAGUGGUGCAUGGAGACAGUGUCUUGGGCCUGAGAUGAACCAUCUAAUCUCCUGCCUGGAGUAUUGAAGCCUGGCUACUGUGACUGUGGGGAAGGGAUUAAUGGUCUCAGCAUUCAACGGGUCUCCCUCUAUUGCCUAGGCUGAGUGUAGUGGUGUGAUCUCAGCUCACUGCAAUCUCCAGAUGCCGGGUUCAAGUGAUUCUUCUGCCUCAGCCUCCUGAAUAGCUAGGAUUACCACGCCCAUCUAACUUUUGUAUUUUUAGUGGAGACGGGGUUUCACCAUGUUGUCCAGGCUGGUCUCGAAUGCCUGACCCCAAGUGAUCCACCCACCUUGGCCUCCCAAAGUGCUGGGAUUACAGGCGUGAGCCACUAUGCCCGGCCAAAACGGCCCCUCUCUGUGGAGACCUACCAAAGAUAAAAGUCCUGAAGCUCAGAUGACACAGCUGAUAAUCAGGGAAGCCAGGGCAGAAUCUCAUUGUUUUGCACAUCAAAACCCAUUCCCUUGACAACUUGGCUAUACUACACUAUUAGAAUGUUGCAGAUACUAUGGUCACAUUUCAAAGGCCAGAUCUUUCCCAGGGCUUAAGCUGUUCCUUGGAUACUUUUGGUAA